rnacentral:misc_RNA from 1 species
GAUGAAGAACGUAGCGAAAUGCGAUACUUGGUGUGAAUUGCAGAAUCCUGUGAACCAUCGAGUCUUUGAACGCAAGUUGCGCCUCAAGCCAUUAGGUUGAGGGUACGUCUGCCUGGGCGUCACAUAUCGUUGCCUGAUGCCAGUUUCCUCGUGAUGGGUGACUGUGCAGGGCGAAUGAUGGCUUCCCGUGAGCAUUGUUGCCUCAUGGUUGGUUGAAAAUUGAGUCCUUGGUAGGGAGCGCCGUGAUAGAUGGUGGUUGAGUGACGAACGAGACCCAAUCAUGUGAGACCCCUACCGAAUUUGGCCUUCAUGACCCACAUGCGUCUUUGGAACGCUCAUGACGAGACCUCAGGUCAGGCGGGGCUACCCGCUGAGUUUAAGCAUAUCAAUAAGCGGAGGA